rnacentral:piRNA from 1 species
UACAAUGUGUCGCUGUCCUUCCAGUUUGC